CCUGGAGGGGCCCCGAUAGACUCGGCCGGGUGGACGGCUCCUAGAUCUCCCGGCCCCGUGCAAAACCUUGGGGUUAAACACUCUCUUAAGGUUGGCCUGAGCCUUAUCUAAAGUGGUAAAAGUUUUGACAAAAGCCCCGAUGUCCUUGACAAAGGACUCUCCAAAUAACAUCCCCUGGGCUGUGGGUCCAGGUUCUCUAUUUGCCAAAUUAAUCAACUUAGGUUCAAUCUUAAGUAAAAUUGAUUUACGGCGUUCCGCCCAGAUGGCUGUGCUGGCAAUACCCAACAAGCAGAUAAGCCGUUGGACCCAUCCGAUGGCUACAUCGAAAUCAAUGGUGGACUCUCCCGCCUUAGCGGAUUCGAGUAAUUCACAUAAUUUCGUGGUUGGCCCCAGGGUGUCUAGUAUUUUGUCUUGACAGCUGUGGAGUGAGAACUCCAGCCCCUUCUUGGGAUUCCAGACAGAUUUUGAGAGGAACUGGGCAAUAUGUGGGUCCACCAUGGGGGUUUUGCAGGCCAUGUCUGGUACGGAGGGUCUGGGACACUCUGCUCGUGGUUUAUUCCUACUCUCGUUAGAGAGAGGGGUACGCAGAUGGAGCGCCAAAUACUGCGCAAUGUGCGUUGGCGGGUCCCACUCCGCCGAGCGAGGGUGGCGGAGGUUGUCCGGGUCGAACAGGGGAUACCCCUGAGGGUCCCGAACACCAUCCUCCACACCCGUCGGUUCCACUACAGGACUAGACUCCUCAUCCGAGUCGGAAGCCAUAUCAUUGUAAAUAUAAUCCGGGUCAUCUGACCCCAUCUCCUCACUAUGGUCAGAAUCUGACUCUUCGUAUUGGGCACGUGCCCGUUUCCAAUUUCUGGCCGCUUGCGCCCGACCAGUGGCUCUUGUGCGUGGCAACACGCCAUCUGGGACCGCCAUAGGCGGGUCAGUCAUGGCAGGGGAGACCUGCAUCAGUGGGAGCGUUGAUGUAUGCUUAGUUUUGGCCUUUGCCUUGCGGGCCGCAGGGACUGGUACAUCAGUUUGGGCCGUUAUAGUAGGUUGCACUUCAGGGGGUAACAUGAGUGCCUGGGCCAGGGAAUGGGAUAGGGAGGUGGACACAGACCCCAUGGCUGAAGCCAAGGCUCGCUGGACCGAACCGGCCAUAGUUGAUUCCAGGAGAGACUGGAAUUCCUGAGAGGGUAAAUGACCCGGGUCUAGGCCAGGGGUGGUUAAGGUAUUCUCUAUAUUAGGGCAUCCCGGGCCCCCAUGUCCAUCUCCGUGAUUUUGCAUUUUAUUAUCCAAAUCACUGAUAACAGAAUGCCCACAAAUGGGAAUGACUGAAUAGGUGUGCUAGGCAGGGAGCAACAGAUCUGGAUAAAUAAACACAGGUUUUUUUUUUGUUUUUUUUUUAGUAACUCUCAGUAAUUUCUUUUUUUUAGAAUUGGGAGAGAUGCCUUUAAAUCAACCCAGAAACAAACUCCCAGCACACAGCCAGUUAAAGACUAAAGUGCAGAAAAAAAAUUGUACAGGGGAAACAAACAAGCAAAGAAACAGUAAAGGCUAUAAGAAGAGUAGUGAGAAGGGUUGAUUAACCCUAAAAAGCAAGAUAGGGGAAAAUAUAAACAUACAACCUUGCCCCCCCGAAGGACAGCAGGAGCAACUAGGAGCCGUUCAGCCUUCCCGCGCUUCAGAGAAGAAAGCGCGCCGAAGGCAAACUUGCUCCACCCCCCCCUCCAGUAAUGGCCGCGAGGAGAGAACUCCUCGCGGCCCCAGACCGCCGGACUUAAGUAAACCCGGCGGGGAAUAGAGUGAGACAGAGCUGCUCGGCACCCACUGGGAUUUCUAAGCGGGUGCCGGCAACUACACAGAAGGGAGGGCACUAGUGAGACCGCAGACGCGUGGGCGGUGCGGUCUCACAGCCUGUCAGACCCCUCUCAGCCCUGGCAGUUAGUGAAAGCCAGGGAGAGAGGGAAAAAUGUCUGAAGCUAAGCCCAACAGUGUAGGAAAAACACUGCAAUACUGACCCCUGAAACAGGGACAACAGUUAAAGACAAUCAAACAUCAAACAGUUAAAACAACCAACAUUUAAAGUGAUAUAAACAAAAAAUAUGUGUGCAAUGAAAAAUUAAGAGUACAGAAAAAAGUCACUUAUCUGACCUGAGGAGCAGCAAGAAAGA
rnacentral:lncRNA from 1 species